rnacentral:rRNA from 1 species
UACGUAGGUGGCAAGCGUUGUCCGGAGUUAUUGGGCGUAAAGCGCGCGCAGGCGGUGCGGUAAGUCUCUGGUGAAAGCGCUCGGCUCAACUGGGCGAGGGCCGGGGAGACUGCCACGCUGGAGGGGAGCAGAGGCGAGUGGAAUUCCGGGUGUAGUGGUGAAAUGCGUAGAGAUCCGGAGGAACACCAGUGGCGAAGGCGGCUCGCUGGGCUCUACCUGACGCUGAGGCGCGAAAGCGUGGGGAGCGAACCGG